UACGUAGGGGGCGAGCGUUGUCCGGAUUCAUUGGGCGUAAAGAGCUCGUAGGCGGCUUGUCAAGUCGGGUGUGAAACCUCCAGGCUCAACCUGGAGACGCCACUCGAGACUGUCAUGGCUAGAGUCCGGUAGGGGAUCACGGAAUUCCUGGUGUAGCGGUGAAAUGCGCAGAUAUCAGGAGGAACACCAAUGGCGAAGGCAGCUCGCUGGGACGGUAUUGACGCUGAGACGCGAAAGCGUGGGGAGCAAACAGG
rnacentral:rRNA from 1 species